CCAAGUCUAGAUCUGGGCUCAAAAUUCUCAAAAAAAAACUAUUGAAAGAGCCUCAAAUCCUUGUGAGACCUUUCGAUUUCCAGCCGUUCACGGCGAUUCUAGGCACCACUCAGGUUGUUUCUUUCCUCUUUCUUUAUUUAAUUUAUUCGUAUGUACAUAAAUGAUAAAAAAAACAAAAUAUAAAAUACUAACAGUAGAAUAAUGAAAAAAAUUGUUCAUAUAAACCUUUUGAAUCGAUUUAUGCCUUUCUCCGUAUUGAACUCUUUGUUUUUGUUGUGAAAAAUGGUUGCUUUUUUUAUUGAUUUCUUUUUCCCCCUUACAAUAUUUCAAUCCGCUUUUAUAGCCAUUAUGAAACAAUAACAUAAAGAAUCAAAUCUUGCCCAUAAUUGAUUCGCAAUCCUUAAUUUUCUUGCCAUUUCUGUUGUUUCUGUGCAGGUGAACGUGGCUCGUGCGGGGACUUUGGCUGCGACGCAAAUGUGGAAAACUGCCUAGGGUUUCCCUUGUGCUGGAAAUGUUGGGCCUCCGUCUUGUUUUGGGUCUGGGCCAUAUAGGCCAA
rnacentral:lncRNA from 1 species